AGCAGAAGGCAGGAGGGGAAAUCUGGCACAACGGCUGGGAGAGGAAACUUGAUGCUUCUGGGCCACCAUUUGCCAGGGCCUCGCUCGAGACGCCGAAAGAAGCCUGUUUGUGUGCUGCGGCCGUGCUGUGACUUUGGAUCUUGUCUUUCAGCCGGCGCCUCGGUUCCUGCCCAGCUGGAUUUGGGGGGCAGCAUUGCCUGGCGCAGGGAGAUCAAAUGAGACUGCAAAGAAGCAUAAAAUGAAUAGACAAUCCAACCAACCAAAGAUGAAUUGUUGGCUAACGCUGCCGGAGAUUACUUGCUGAAAGGAAAAAGAAAAGUUCGGAAUAAACUCUGAAGGCAACAGAUCUCGUUUGGAUGUUUUAGCCGCGCACACACACAAACAGAAACCAGGUCAUAUUUACAUAAAAGGAGGAAUCUUAAGCGCGGCAAGUAUCCUGGACGACCACUCUUCGGUACUGCCAGAAAGGAUCAGGACCUGGAGUCUGGCAAGAGGAAGACAGAGGCCUGUGUGGGAAGCGAGUUGUUAUCUUUGGUUAUCUAGCUGUAUGAGUGUAUUGGUCUUCAUAAAGCUAGAUAACCGAAAGUAAAAACUCCUUCAAGAUCGCCGGGGAGCGUGUGAGAAUGAAAGACUACAGCCGAGAGACAGUAAAAACCAGAAAGGUCAGGAAUACUUAUUGAAUCUAACUUUGUUUUUGUUUUGUUUUUUUCCUUAUGAUUAAAGGUGGGAUGAGAGAAAAUUAAAUGACACACACAUGCUAAAAUAUCAAGGUUCCAGAUAUGUCUUGAGAGGGGUUGUUGCAGCUGCAAAGGAGAAGUGUAUAGUGAUAAUGAGUAAAGAUGCAUGUGCAGUUUGUUCUAUUUUAAGGCAAAAGUUAUAUCAGGGAUUUUUUUCUUAGAAAGGUGUUGCAGAGAUGUCUGGUACCUAGUUUAAAAAUGAUUCCAUAAUAUGUAGACUUGGGCAGUUCCUUUGGGAGGCACCUCCCUCUCAAAAUUUGAAGAUUGUGCUUGGAAAUUACUUUACAUGUAUUUGGGCUGUAUGUCAAUUUGUACGAAAUUAGACUUUCAGAAAAGUUUAUACUGGAAGGUUAAUAAUUUGUAUCUACUGAGGACUUAGAGCUAGCAGGCAAAAUGAAAAAAAAAAAAAAAAAAGCAAGGGCUGAUUUUUAUUCUUCUAUUCAAAAUACAAGGACAGAUGCUUCUCUGUUCCAAGAGGGUUUCCUUGAGGAAGCUACUGAAGCAGAAAGACAUGAUGGAGACGAGAUCGCCUCCCCUCUUGUCAAAGUGUUAAAAAAAUGUUCUGUCUUACUCUGCGCCUAGCAUUGGAAAUGAAAGUGACAUUUACGCCACAACCCACGUGUGCGCCUCCUCUCUUUUUGUUUAAGGAUGAUCAGGUCUAUCCAGGAAACAGCUCUGGCAUCCCAAACUGAAAUAAUUAGGACGUAUAUAGACCUGACAAAAAUGGAAAGGGGGUGGGGAAUCUGAGGGUCUGUCUUGCCUAAUUGAUUCCGCUAAACGGAAUGCAGGAGAUGUGAACGGCAGGACGCUCCGAUUCCCACGCUCGGGGGCAAGUGAUAAAGCGGGGCCGGGCAGCCUAUGACAGACAGCCCUGUUGGGGGGUGGGGGUAUGAAAAAAACAUCAAGUGCACACACCAUACUCAUCUCCAUCGCUUAAGAAAGUAAAGGCAUUUCCCACCCACAGCCAUCUGCAGCUUCCCAAAUGGCAGCACCAACUGGUCUGUAGCUGCUACAUAGUCUGCUUCUGUUAAUUUUUUAACCACUGUUUAAUCUGGCCAUAAUUAAGUUUGGCUUUCUUCGUUGUUUGAGAUUUUCAGAAUUCAAGGCAAGCUAGUAGAAAGCAAUUCCAAGAAAGUCCCAUGACUGCCUGCCCCUAAUGUCAAAAUCUCAGUCCAUGAGAUUAUGGCCUUGUGACCACAUUUUUGCUUUUGUUUUGGGUGGGCAAAUGUGUAUAGAGAUAAAAUACAUAUCUCUAUAUAACAGUCGUUAUUAUAAUUUCAUGAGGCUUUUUACCUCUUAACAUGAUACAUCUAGGAACUUGGUCUAAUUGUGCUAGUAGAUAUACACUAGAAGUAAAACUAUAAAGUCAUUAGCCUGUAGAAAGUUGAUUAUGAUAACAAUAUGAUAAAAAGUUUGUUUUGGAAUAGUCUCAGCUAGAUGGGUCUAAAUAGCCAUUUUAAUGUAAUCUAAAAAUAACACUAUGCCUAGCAGAAACUUUGGCGCUUUGGAGGUCCCCAUUGUCGCCUUUUCAUAAAAGUCCUUAAGUUUUCCAUAUGUCACCAAGCAAACAUUUGUAUAGGCAUUUACACAGAAAUAUAACCAUUGCAAUUAGAAAAUAUCCAAAAUAGCCUGUUAUCUUCCACGUGGCCUAGAUUAUUGACAAUCCCAAAUAUACAAUUUUUCUUUAAAAGUAGUACAAUUUCCUUUGUAGCUUCAAUUCCUUAUAUGACUUCAGACUGGAGAAGCCUGUUAAACCACUGUUAGUUUCAGUUAGAAAGUCUGAGAGACUUUAUACAUAAAUUCUCAAUUUGGCUGCUGUACACGUGCCAGAGUUUUACUACUGUAGUGACCGUUGAGAAGACCCUUGUUUAUUUACAUUUGAAGCACUGUUUGUGCAAACAACCUUUCAUUGUUAAGUGCCUGUAUUCCUUUCAUUUACUUCAUGUCCAGGGGUGCUAUUUACCUAGAACCAUUGUCUACUACAAUUAACAUUUACAUUACAAAGUGUGUGGUUUUCUUUUUCAAGGAGGUUCAAUUAAGGCAAUAAGAUGUUUGCUGGAGAAACCUAUUGUUUACUGAAAGCACUCAAUGAAGUCAAAUUACUGAAGCUUUUGCCUACAUCUUGGUCUUUUAUGUAAAUAUGUUAAAUAUAACAUCUAAGGAAAAUAAACAAUAUUAUAAUUAUGUGUUUGCCAUUGUCAUAUCAAACUUGCUUUGUAUCAUACUAAUGUUACAUAACUUAUCGAUCAAUAAAAAUAC
ensembl:lncRNA MIR9-2HG MIR9-2 host gene